rnacentral:tRNA from 1 species
AGGGCCAUAGUUUAGUGGUAAAAUUCCGGUCUCCAAAACCGUAGUCCUCAGUUCGAUCCUGAGUGGCCCUGCCA